rnacentral:rRNA from 1 species
UGGGGAAUAUUGCACAAUGGGCGCAAGCCUGAUGCAGCCAUGCCGCGUGUGUGAAGAAGGCCUUCGGGUUGUAAAGCACUUUCAGCGAGGAGGAAGGGUUCAGUGUUAAUAGCACUGUUCAUUGACGUUACUCGCAGAAGAAGCACCGGCUAACUCCGUGCCAGCAGCCGCGGUAAUACGGAGGUGCAAGCGUUAAUCGGAA